rnacentral:rRNA from 1 species
UACGGAGGGGGCUAGCGUUGUUCGGAAUUACUGGGCGUAAAGCGCACGUAGGCGGCUGUGUAAGUCAGAGGUGAAAGCCCGGGGCUCAACCCCGGAAUUGCCUUUGAGACUGCAUAGCUUGAACACGGGAGAGGUGAGUGGAAUUCCGAGUGUAGAGGUGAAAUUCGUAGAUAUUCGGAAGAACACCAGUGGCGAAGGCGGCUCACUGGACCGUUGUUGACGCUGAGGUGCGAAAGCGUGGGGAGCAAACAGG